GGUGAACGCUGGCGGCGUGCCUAACACAUGCAAGUCGAUCGGAGCAGCAAUGCUUAGAGGCGAACGGGUGAGGAAAACGUAGUAACCAACCCUUUAGACUGGGAUAGCCACUGGAAACGGUGGGUAAUACCGGAUAAGCUCGAGAGAGGAAAGGCAGAGAAGCGCUAAAGGACGGAACUGCGCCCCAUCAGAUAGUUGGUGAGGUAAAGGCUUACCAAGUCAAAGACGGGAAACCGACGUGAGAGCGUGUACGGUCACAAGGGCACUGAGAGACGGGCCCUACUCCUACGGGAGGCAGCAGUGGGGAAUAUUGGACAAUGGGCGCAAGCCUGAUCCAGCCAUGCCGCGUGAGUGAUGAAGGCCCUAGGGUUGUAAAGCUCUUUUGUGCGGGAAGAUAAUGACGGUACCGCAAGAAUAAGCCCCGGCUAACUUCGUG
rnacentral:rRNA from 1 species